UAAAAUGUGGCCUUCGCAAGAAACCCUCAGUGCCCAGAGCAUAUUUUCAUCAUCUGGAAGCCAGAGCCAGAGUGGGAGCCCAACCAAGAUUGGAACCAAAAGUGAAGUCCUCACCUUCAGCACCAUCCCUGAGAUACCUGUUCCUUUAUGGUCUUUUAACAUUCAGUUUUGUGAAUGUUAAAUGUCUACUACACACAGCAUUUUUUUAAGUGUACACAGUUUGAAAGGAAUAAAUGCACCCUCAGCCAGGGGAAAUGGAGAAACAAAAAGGCUGUACCUGGUGUAAGCCUUGCUGAUGGCAGAACAAGUGGGCCAAUUCUGUGUGUCACAGAAUUGCAGCGAUUCUGGUAGGAGAUUUUCACGACUUCAUAAGAACUUAAUAGUAAUCAAAGAGCUUUUCCUCCUUCUGUUAAAAAAGAAAAAGUAGGGGGCUGAGCGGAC
rnacentral:lncRNA from 1 species